AGGGACUUUGGAAGUUGGACUGAAUGCAUUUUUGCACUAUAUCUAUAGACCUAUGGGGGUCAUGGAGUAGAAUGUGGUGGUUUGAAUAGGAAUGGCCCCCAUAGGCCCAAAUAUUUGAAUGUUUGGUCAUUAGGGAGUAGCUACUUGAGAGAGAUUAGGAGGUAUGGCUUUGGAGUGGGUGUGGCCUUGUUGGAGUGGGCGUGACCUUGUUGGAGGAAGUGUGUCAUUGGGGGUGGGCUUUGGGUGUUUCAAAUGCUCAAGCCAGGCCCUCCGUGUCUCUCUCUUCCUGCUGCCUGUGUAUCUGGGUGUAGAGCUCUCAGCUACCUCUCCAGCACCAUGUCUACCUGCAUGCCGCCAUGCUUCCUGCCAUGACAAUAAUGGACUGAAGCUCUGAAACUGUAAGCCAGCCCCUAAUAAAAGCUUUCCUUUUUAAAA
rnacentral:lncRNA from 1 species